rnacentral:sRNA from 1 species
UGUGUAACUAAUAUUAAGUAUAUAUAUUUUAUUUAUAUAUUCUAUGAAUUUAU